CCUGGUUUGCCUGGGACUGAGGGGAUUUCCAGGGAUAUGGGAAUUUCAGUGCUAAAACCAAUCAGGU
rnacentral:miRNA from 1 species